CGCCUCUUGCUAACAAAGGAAGUACUAGAGGUCCCGCCUGCCCUGUGACCACAAAGUUUAACGGCCGCGGUAUCCUGACCGUGCGAAGGUAGCGUAAUCAUUUGUCUUUUAAAUAGAGACCUGUAUGAAUGGCAUAACGAGGGUUUAACUGUCUCCUUCCCCUAGUCAAUGAAAUUGAUCUGCCCGUGCAGAAGCGGACAUAAACACAUAAGACGAGAAGACCCUAUGGAGCUUUAGACAAAAGAUCAAACAUGUAAAGAAACCAAACCAACCAAAAGGAWCACGAAGGCCACAAAACCCAACGUAA
rnacentral:rRNA from 1 species